UCGGGCAGCAUCAGUUGUCAUUGCUUCUCCUUGUAAGGCCAAAAUAUUACCUUCCCCAACAUGCACAUUUAUGUGAUCAGAUGGAGCAUCAAGAGUGACAUACUUUCCUGAUUCUGCAUUCACUGAAUUUGAGACAUUAAAGAGGUCAAACCAGCUUCCUUUAGGAAAGUAUGCAUUAACAGUGGUAGCCCCAGAUUGUAGUACAGGUGACACCAGAACCCCUUUACCUACUAGAAACUGUGAGUUUAUUUUAUAUGUUGUGACAUCCUCAGGGAAUGAAAAGAAAAGGGGUCUUGCAAUGGGAGUCCCUUUUGUAUGUGCUUCAUACAUUAGUGUGUAGAAAUAAGGGAGAAGACUGUAUCGGAGGCCUAGCACUUUCCUAGCUGAUGAAGCUACUGAAUCCCAAAUGUAAAGCUCUUGCCUGAUGGAGUUUUUCUCUGAAUGAUCUCUCGCAAAGGGGUAAAAUGCCCCCAACUACAUUGAGAAAAAUUAAAGUAGUAUAAUAUGGUAUUUCGUAGUUCAUUUUUGCAUGUAUUUUCAACAAACAAAAAUCGUGGUACUUUUCAGUUUUCACAAGUUACUUCUGUAUAUUUAGGCAAAGAAGGCAUUGAUUACUUUAUACUAUUUCAAAAAAUGAAAAUGUAAUCCCAUACUACUGCAUUUGAGGAUCAAUUUUACCUGGAUCCAACGCCGGCAAAGUUCUUCAGUUGUAUUUCCUCCAAAACCACAUAUAUCUGCUCCAACCAUUGGAAUUCCAAAGAUUCCUGAAUUUAAUAUCGAUGGAAUUGAGUAUGCCAAAUCAUUCCAUGUAGCAGCAUUAUCUCCUGUCCAGUGAGACGCAUACUUACCAGAACUUACAAAAGUUGAUCUACUUAGGAUGAAUGGCCUUUUACCAGUUAUAUCCACCAAUGCCUUGUUAGUGACUUUGGAUUCUAGUAGUCCAUACAAAUUGUGGGCAUUAUACUCAGUGAUAUUACCAAAGUGUAAAGAUGUUGCUGGGACUGUUCUGUAAUUAAUGGAUUGUUGAACUUCACCAUUGUUAAUUUUGUAGGGUGGGUUAUCAAGAUUAGAAGAUGGAUUGGGAGGAGAAGUAAUGAAAUUAGAUAACUCGUUCAUGUCAAGCCAAAGACCAUCAAAAGAAAGAAGGUCCCUAAAUAAUUUGAUUUCCCCACCCCAAAAUGCUUGGCUGCGAGGGUUUAGAAAAUCCGGGUAAUAAACUGGUCCAGGCCAAACUUCACCAAGAUAAUUGACUUCAUUUCUCUUUAUGUAGACAUCAGCCUUCAAACCUCUAACAUAGGUUGCAUCCGUCUUAUUUACACUGAUACCUGUUUCCAAAAUCUACCACAAAUUAAUAAAAGAAGCAUAGAUAUGUCCUCAAACAUUAAGAGCAGAAUAUGAUUUUUAUUUGUUUAAAAGAAUUUUGCUAUAGUCAGAAUUAGGUACCUGGAUCCAAGAUAAGCACAUAUUUCUGACCAUUUUUGUGAAGAGCAUCAACAAAACUUAUCAUCUUAUCCAGCGGAAAGUUGAUGGGAUCUAAUGUGAAAUCCUUGUAUGCAUCCAUGUAAUCAAUAUCUGUCCACAUAACUUCAAGGGGUAUACCUGCUUUUGCAUAGUUGUCAACCACACCCUCAAGAUCACUUACAUUCUUGUAGCCCCAUCGACACUGAUGAAAACCUUCCCGACCAAGAAAGAUCAUACCAAUGAGGAUCAGCAUGAAUAGACAUACUAUAUGUAUAGCAAUUCAUAACUUAGAUUUUAAUCUGUGUCAAGAAAUUAUUGUAUGGUCUGAGAUCAUCACAUGAGUAUAGCUUGGGACCACCACAUGACAUGGUCCUGAUCAAUCUCCAAAUGAAAUAUAUUCAAUUUUCUUUUUAUAAUUUACUAGAAAAUGUUAAUUAAACUCAAUUAUGUGUCACAUGGAGAUUAACCAAGAUUAUGAUGGUGGGAUACGUCACAUGGAGAUUAACCAAGAUUAUGAUGGUGGGAUACGUCAUACGGAGAUUAAUCAGGAUUAUGAUAGUGGGAUACUAUGUAAUAAUUUUCCUGUGUAUACCAAUUCACAAGUAAUGAAAGCAAUUUGGUGCGUGUGACAUACCAAAGGACCAAUAAGGCAUGGGAGCAGGCCUGCCAAUGAGUUCGGUGUACUGCUCCAACACCAGUUCUGGAGAGGAUCCAGAGAAAAAGUACAGAUCAAAAACUCCACCAAUGACCUUAUAAGUAAUGCGAUCACCGCCGUACACAAUAUCCAUUCCAUUGCUGUUGAGUAGCAACACCCCGUGUGUGGUGCCAGCCUUGACUGUUCCAUCAGCGGAGGGUGAUCUCACGUCCAAGUAAAAAGGGUGAGAGCCAUAAAGGUUCACGUCCAAGUUGUCACUUCCAAUGUCUGCAUUCCACAGUGUAAGGGUCUGGUUCGGUCGCAGCUUGAAGGAGCUCUUGGUGUGUUCCCCGAGGCCGAAUAGAGAGGCUCUUUGUGAUGGAAGAGAGGAAGAGAGCUGCAGGUAUUGAUCCUUAAAAAUAAGAAAAGUUUCGGGGUUGGAAGGGUUAGGUGCCGUGUUGAAGAGGACAUCGUUGGAGGAUUUGCGCGAGACUGUGAAGCCAAAUGGGGUGGUGUUGUGGAGAGUGAAAACAAGGUCUGAGUCUGGAUGUGUGAGACUGAGAGAGUGUUGGAAACCUUGGUUGGUAUUGAAGUAGUAAAGAGGGUAAUAUUGGGAAGGGGACCCUCUGGGAAGGACUUGUUGGGGUAUUUCCCAUCUUUGGUUGUUGGAGUCAGUGAUUCUUACUCUCAAUCUAUCCUUGUUCUCAAAACUGCAUGCAAUUUAGAACAAGCAAUAGUAGUAUUAUUUAGACUGAUACAUCACAUAGAUAUGACAAACUAUUAGGUGAUAAUGAAUCUUCACAUGAUAUGUUAUCAAGUGUCAUUAGUUUUUUGAAAAUUUUUAAUACCUGUAAUGUAAAAAUUGAUUAGGAUCCGUCAUAGACACUUAUUCUCUAGAACUAGAAAGUAAUUAUAUCAGACAAGUUAAUGAUAUGAAUUACGUUAAGUGUGAUUGACUGAAUGGACAAUAGUCAACAUCGUUAAUUAAUUGGAUGUUGUUACCUGGCAGCAAGAGAGAGGUGCGGAAUGUCGGGUCCGAAAACCGAGGAUGGUUUGAUGAGUUUAAGGUUUGCAGCCAAGAGACGCUUAUGGGAUAACUGUUAACAGUUGAGAUGAUGUAGCCAUAACCAACUGGUGUUGCUUCUGACAAAGAACUGGAGCAGAAGCCAAGACAAACACAGAUACAGAAUAGUAGUGGAGUGAUGACAGUGGUUGUAGCCAUGUGUUGAUGUGGGUGUGGAUGUGAAACGAAGGAUGAUCGUGGAAGGAAGGCGAGUUGACUUUCAUGUCUUUUACUUUGUGAGCUUUACUACCUGGAACCAAUCACCACUUUUUCCUCACGGGUAUUUAUAAUUUUAAAAAAUCGAUUUUUGAUCACUUGAGGAUAUAUGAAAUAGUAUUACAUUAAUCCUUUAUAAUUUGCUAACAUAUGAUGGCAUUUGUCCUGCUGCUAUCUCUACGAAUUGUUAGAGGAGACUGUUUCCGUUGCACAAGGUUGCAAUAAUCAUCAAGAAUAUGUAGGUGUUACCCCAUAAACUUCCACACCGCGUUAUAUUAAAUACUCUGAUUAUAUCACUUCACACUGUAACGUGCUUGUGUAGAGUGGGUUUUGAAUUUUCCAGAAUUACAUUCAAAAAUCAAUUAACAUGAUUUUAAGUAAAUUUUUAUAUAUUUGAUUCUGCAAUCUGGAUAUGAUUUUGGUUUUAGUGUUGAUUUUUAAGUUGAAGCAAUUUAGGUAACUUUACAAAGUUUUAGAAUUUUUUUGGUUACAUUACUAACUUUUAAAAUAAAAACAUCAAAACAUAAAUCACACUAUUUUAAAAUCAAAAUUAACCAAAUUAAAUUCAAAAUCAACAUUAUUAGCGUUCAUCCAAACACACAUGUUAGAUGUGCACAGAACAAUUAUUCAUGUAUUUGAAUUUAGCGUCUCACUUUAUUUACUGUGAUUCUGUCUUGACACUAGUGACAUGCUUGUUGUAGAUGUGCAGAGUGUAUUAUUUGUGCACUUGUUAGGAAAUGGGAAUCCAAGUGAAUUGUGAUUUGCAAGCGGAGUUGUGAGUGGAACGUGGGUUAUGAAUGAAAUCCCGCAUUGAAAAUAAAGUCAGAAUCAAAUAAAGUCAAAGGACCAAUUAACCUAUUCAGUUGGGACCUGAGAUUUGGUGUCAGAAGCAGUUUGUGGUUUCCUCGGUAAGUUAAUAAAUCUCAUAUAAGUUGAACUACAAAUGAAACAGUAGUUUCUAUUAUCAGUCUACGCAAAAGAUGUUUGUGGAUACUGCACUGCUAGCAUGAAUCCAACUAAAUAGAGUGUGAAGAGUUAUAAGAGUAGGACUCAUGGAACCUCAACUAAAGGUAAUUGCUACAUUGAUUGCAUAAAUUAAGAGCGACCACCAGUACUAGGUAAUACUCACCCCGUUAUUGAUAGGCAGACAUACGUUUAGGCUUGAACUUCAUAGCCAUGUUGACAAUAUUCUGUAAAAUUUAUUCCUGACACAAAAUAUGACAUUUUAUGAAUGUUUGUGUCGUGGUUUGGGAAAAUGACAUCCUUAUAUAGUAACCUUAGCAGUGAUAAAACGAAGAGCCAAAACGAUGCAACUAUAAAGAGAGCACAAAUUCUUUGUGGGAAUUUGCUAUCUUAAAGUACCCUUCUACUUGAUUUCUAUCUCCAGCUUGAAUUCCUCUCCAAUAGGAAGUGACAAUUUUGAAACUUGUACAUUAACAAAUUGAGAAGAGCUAUCAAAUUCUGACUUCACAACUGCCGUCCUCAUUGAAUCCAUGCCAUUCACAAUUUUCAACUCAUUUCCUGCCAAAUCCAUUCCAUUAAAUCUCUUAUUCUUAGGUAUCCCCAAGAAACUUACAUUGUCUAUGAUCCACCUUUGGUCCAGAGCAAAUCUUGCAUUAGUGACCUUAGAUGUUACUAAAACACUGUUGUUGUGUAAUGCGCCAUAAAAGCUUGCCAAUGUCCACUGAUCAUUCACCCCUGCUAUGUCAAGUGCCUCCCCAUCAUCCAAAUACACUUGUCCAAAACUACUUCCGCUGUUACUGAUAACUACCACAAGUUGAAAUGCAGUUUUCCGGGCAGCAACAGUUGUUAUUGCUUCACCUUGCAAAGCUAAAAUAUUACCUUCCCCAACAUGCACAUUUAUGUGAUCAGAUGGAGCAUCAAGAGUAACAUACUUGCCUGAUUCUGCAUUCACUGAAUUUGAGACAUUAAAGAGGUCAAACCAGCUUCCUUUAGGAAAGUAUGCAACAACAGAGGUUGCCCCAGAUUGUAGCACAGGUGACACCAGAACCCCUUUACCUAAUAGAAAUUGUGAGCUUAUUUCGUAAGUUGUGACAUCCUCAGGGAAAGAAAAGAAAAGGGGUCG
rnacentral:lncRNA from 1 species